rnacentral:tRNA from 1 species
GGAGUUGUGGCUCAGUGAUAGAGCGCUUACCUGGCAUGUGUGAGGAACUGGGUUCAAUUCUCAGCACUACA